rnacentral:rRNA from 1 species
AGUGAACGCUGGCGGUAGGCCUAACACAUGCAAGUCGAACGGCAGCACAGUAAGAGCUUGCUCUUACGGGUGGCGAGUGGCGGACGGGUGAGGAAUACAUCGGAAUCUACUUUUUCGUGGGGGAUAACGUAGGGAAACUUACGCUAAUACCGCAUACGACCUACGGGUGAAAGCAGGGGAUCUUCGGACCUUGCGCGAUUGAAUGAGCCGAUGUCGGAUUAGCUAGUUGGCGGGGUAAAGGCCCACCAAGGCGACGAUCCGUAGCUGGUCUGAGAGGAUGAUCGGCCACCCUGGAACUGGGACACGGUCCAGACUCCCACGGGAGGCAGCAGUGGGGAAUAUUGGACAAUGGGCGCAAGCCUGAUCCAGCCAUACCGCGUGGGUGAAGAAGGCCUUCGGGUUGUAAAGCCCUUUUGUUGGGAAAGAAAAGCAGCAGGUUAAUACCCCGCUGUUCUGACGGUACCCAAAGAAUAAGCACCGGCUAACUUCGUG